rnacentral:rRNA from 1 species
UGGGGAAUAUUGCACAAUGGGCGCAAGCCUGAUGCAGCCAUGCCGCGUGUGUGAAGAAGGCCUUCGGGUUGUAAAGCACUUUCAGCGGGGAGGAAGGCGAUAAGGUUAAUAACCUUGUCGAUUGACGUUACCCGCAGAAGAAGCACCGGCUAACUCCGUGCCAGCAGCCGCGGUAAUACGGAGGGUGCAAGCGUUAAUCGGAAUUACUGGGCGUAAAGCGCACGCAGGCGGUUUGUUAAGUCAGAUGUGAAAUCCCCGGGCUCAACCUGGGAACUGCAUCUGAUACUGGCAAGCUUGAGUCUCGUAGAGGGGGGUAGAAUUCCAGGUGUAGCGGUGAAAUGCGUAGAGAUCUGGAGGAAUAUCGGUGGCGAAGGCGGCCCCCUGGACGAAGACUGACGCUCAGGUGCGAAAGCGUGGGGAGCAAACAGG